rnacentral:rRNA from 1 species
ACGAACGCUGGCGGCGUGGAUAAGACAUGCAAGUCGAACGAGAGAAUUGCUAGCUUGCUAAUAAUUCUCUAGUGGCGCACGGGUGAGUAACACGUGAGUAACCUGCCCCCGAGAGCGGGAUAGCCCUGGGAAACUGGGAUUAAUACCGCAUAGUAUCGAAAGAUUAAAGCAGCAAUGCGCUUGGGGAUGGGCUCGCGGCCUAUUAGUUAGUUGGUGAGGUAACGGCUCACCAAGGCGAUGACGGGUAGCCGGUCUGAGAGGAUGUCCGGCCACACUGGAACUGAGACACGGUCCAGACACCUACGGGUGGCAGCAGUCGAGAAUCAUUCACAAUGGGGGAAACCCUGAUGGUGCGACGCCGCGUGGGGGAAUGAAGGUCUUCGGAUUGUAAACCCCUGUCAUGUGGGAGCAAAUUAAAAAGAUAGUACCACAAGAGGAAGAGACGGCUAACUCUGUGCCAGCAGCCGCGGUAAUACAGAGGUCUCAAGCGUUGUUCGGAAUCACUGGGCGUAAAGCGUGCGUAGGCUGUUUCGUAAGUCGUGUGUGAAAGGCGCGGGCUCGACCGGCGGACGGCACAUGAUUCUGAGAGACUAGAGGAAUGGAGGGGGAGCCGGAAUGCUCGUUGUAGGAGUGAAAUGCGUAGUUAUCGAGAGGAACGCUCGUUGCGAAGGCGGGUUCCUGGACAUUAACUGACGCUGCGGCACGAAGGCCAGGGGAGCGAAAGGGAUUAGAUACCCCUGUAGUCCUGGCAGUAAACGGUGCACGCUUGGUGUGCGGGGAAUCGACCCCCUGCGUGCCGGAGCUAACGCGUUAAGCGUGCCGCCUGGGGAGUACGGUCGCAAGAUUAAAACUCAAAGAAAUUGACGGGGACCCGCACAAGCGGUGGAGUAUGUGGCUUAAUUCGAUGCAACGCGAAGAACCUUACCUGGGCUUGACAUGUAAUGAACAACAUGUGAAAGCAUGCGACUCUUCGGAGGCGUUACACAGGUGCUGCAUGGCCGUCGUCAGCUCGUGUCGUGAGAUGUUUGGUUAAGUCCAGCAACGAGCGCAACCCCUGUUGCCAGUUACCAGCACGUGAAGGUGGGGACUCUGGCGAGACUGCCCAGAUCAACUGGGAGGAAGGUGGGGACGACGUCAGGUCAGUAUGGCCCUUAUGCCCAGGGCUGCACACGUACUACAAUGCCCAGUACAGAGGGGGCCGAAGCCGCGAGGCGGAGGAAAUCCUAAAAACUGGGCCCAGUUCGGACUGUAGGCUGCAACCCGCCUACACGAAGCCGGAAUCGCUAGUAAUGGCGCAUCAGCUACGGCGCCGUGAAUACGUUCCCGGGUCUUGUACACACCGCCCGUCACAUCAUGGAAGCCGGUCGCACCCGAAGUAUCUGAAGCCAACCGCAAGGAGGCAGGGUCCUAAGGUGAGACUGGUAACUGGGAUG